GACGAACGCUGGCGGCGUGCCUAAUACAUGCAAGUCGAGCGGACCGAACAGGAGCUUGCUCUUGUUCGGUUAGCGGCGGACGGGUGAGUAACACGUGGGUAACCUGCCCGUAAGACCGGGAUAACUCCGGGAAACCGGAGCUAAUACCGGAUAACACCGAAGACCGCAUGGUCUUUGGUUGAAAGGCGGCUUCGGCUGCCACUUACGGAUGGGCCCGCGGCGCAUUAGCUAGUUGGUGAGGUAACGGCUCACCGAGGCGACGAUGCGUAGCCGGCCUGAGAGGGUGACCGGCCACACUGGGACUGAGACACGGCCCAGACUCCUACGGGAGGCAGCAGUAGGGAAUCUUCCGCAAUGGACGAAAGUCUGACGGAGCGACGCCGCGUGAGCGAAGAAGGUCUUCGGAUCGUAAAGCUCUGUUGUUAGGGAAGAAGAAGCGUCGUUCGAACAGGGCGGCGCGGUGACGGUACCUAACGAGAAAGCCCCGGCUAACUACGUG
rnacentral:rRNA from 1 species